AAAUACAUGGUAGUUACCCUUUAAUUGGUAACUAUUAAGAGUAGAUAAUAACUAGAAGAGAGUGUCCUACAGUGCACUAUGCCCCCAGCAAAGGCACCGAGUAGAAAUAGAAAGUAACAUUCUGGUUAUUUUCGUAUUUUAUUUGAGUACUUAUCAUAAAAUAACUAACAACGUAACUACUCAAAUAAAUAUGAAAGUAACCGGAAUGUGACUGUCCAUUUCUACAUGGUAAUACAAGACACAAUAUAGUUGCUAGGACACUCUCCUCUAAUUAUUAUCUACUUUUGCAAUUAUUUACUAGUUAUGCAGUACAAUGCAAAAAAAAGCUAAGUAGCUACUCUACUUUUGCAUAGGUAGUUCGCUGCUCCUUCGUUGUGCAUGUGCAAACUUACCAGUAGUAGUAGUGCACAUGGUCAGCAGAAGGAUAGUAGCUCGACGGUGACUCAAGCAAAGAGCUUCCUAAACAGCCUUCUAAAGGUAAAGGGCAGCAGUAGAGACAAACUUGGAGAGCAAAGACAGCCAAGAGAAGCAUCUUCAAGUCCUUUGAGAGUCUUUAGAGCGUGAGCGCUUGCUAUUACAGAACACGUGACAGGGGGUACUGCAGUACUUCUUGGGAGUAGCGCAGCGAAGAGUAACGAAGAGUAGUAGAGUAAAAUAACUACCUACGCACUACCUGUGUACUACUUAUGCUACUUAGCUUUUAUCACCUUGUACUGUAACUAGUUAAAUGGGGCGAGCCUGAGAAAGCCCCAAAAAGAUGAGAAAGCAUCUGCAUGUAUGUACGUGCAUAGGGCUGAUCGUCUAACUAUUACAAUGUGACUGCAUGCUUGAUUGGUUUAGACACACCCUUUUUGCUUGCUCUUAAUACUCUUUUGCUGCCAUGAGCCUAAUGUUAGCACAAUGUGACUGCAUGCUUGAUUGAUUUAGACACACCCUUAUUGCUUGCUCUGAAUGCUCUUUUGCCUGCAGUUAUAGUGCAGUAUAAUUUUAAAUUGCUACUUAUUAUUCUUAUAGGUUUCAUCAUGGCUGUGUUUAUACCUUCACUAAAAAAUACAGUAGUGUAUUCCUCAAACAGCAGAAGUGCUAUUGUCAAUUCUCAAGCUAAAUUAUUAUUAAUCUAUAAAAGUUGGUGCAAAGCAAGCAUGGACAAUGCAUUAGAAGCAGUUAUCUCAAAGGGAUGCAGUACUCAUAGAGCAGCUAAUUUUUAAUGUACCUAAGUCUACUCUUGGUGACAGGGUUAGUGGUCAAGUUGCAAACCAUAAGCUUAGUGGACCAAGGAAGAUUCUGAAUGAUGAGCAAGAAGUUUUAGCUAACUUCUUGAUAGUCUGUGCUUCAAUCGGCUAUGCUAAGUCUCGUUCGGAAGUAAUAGGCAUAGUAAAUCAGAUAUAUAAAUCCAGAGUAAUUGAUAAGCUCAUAAGUAAUGGUUGGUGGGAUGGAUUUUGUAAACACCACCCAAAUUUGACACUUCAAGCAGCACCACACUUAUUUCAAACUAGAUACUUUUCCUCUCAUUGGUCAAUUUUUGAACAGUACUAUUAUGAUGUAUUAGAGAAACUUUUACUGAAUAUUAUCUUAUGCAGAAACCACACAAGAUUUUCAACAUGAAUGAAACUGGAGUUCCAUUUGACCCUUGUCCACCUAGAUGCGUAUUUGAAAAAGGAGAGAGAAGGCCUACUGUUUAACAUCAAGAACCAAAGGCCAGUUUACGGUAGUGGGCUGUGUAAAUGUCGCUGGCUUUUGUUUGCCUCCAAUGGUCAUCAUAGAUAGAAAAUAGUUGAAUCAAACGAUUACAAAAGGUGAAAUACCAGGCACUUCAUAUGGGUUAACAGCAAAUGGAUGGAUGGAUCAAGAUAUUUUCAAUUUAUGGUUCAGAGAUCAUUCUUUUAAACACAUACCUUCCUCUCGACCAAUAAUCUUAUUAAUGGAUGGCCACAAGUCCAAUUAUAAUCCUGAUACAAUACAGUUUGGAUCUAAAGAAAGAAUAAUAUUGUUUAAGCUGCCUCCAAACACUAUACUCACAUAUCUUAGCCAUUAGAUUGAAGCUGCUUUGGGCCAUUCAAGCUAGCAUGGAGGGAGGCUUGCCACAGGUUCACAUAUAGUACAAGACAAGUAGUUACGAGGAAUACCUUUUUUCAAUUACUCAAUGAAGCAUGGAGUGUAGCAAUGAUGAGAAGUAACAUUAUAAGUGGUUUUAAAGUCACUAGCAUUUACCCUUUCAAUUGUACUGCUCUUACUCCACAAUCAGCACCUGAGGUAGAAUCCCAGUUACUACACAUACCACAAUUAACUCCCAAAUGCUGUUCUUGUAGAAGAGAAUCUGCAGAGCUCUCAAAUGCAAGUUUUGAUGAUCAUGAUAUUAGCUGUUCUCCCGAAGACUCACCAGCAAUUCAGCUGCACAAAAGAUCAAGUUUAUCAGAUGCACUAAAGUAUCCACAGCCUAUAACACCACCAAAACUCCUUCUAAGUCACUAUCUGCUAGUAUCCUGACUAGAGAUGAUAAUAUUAAAGCUAUUCAGCAAAAGAAUUAGCAAAGGAAAAAGCUGCACAGGAAAAAAAGUUAAAGAAGGCUACAAGAGCUGAAAAAAAGCAAUAAAGGCAAAAAUGAAGAUGCAAAGAGUUGUGCCUAGAGAGGAAUCAGAUGAUGAAUACUCCAGCCAAAGUUUGUUUGAAGAGGAGUUUUCAGCGGAGGAAAUAGAGAUCUUUAUGAAGUGCUAUGAAAAUGUGUAUGAUUUAAAGCAUGAUGCACAUUAUAAUAAAUGGAAGGAACAAUAUGAAGCAGGUGAACUAAGUCAUGAAGAAACUGAAGUUUCAUAUUUUUAAUUAUGCUAUGACAAUAGUUUUUACAGGUGAUAUUGAAGAUGUUUUAGAUAAUCAUGUACCAAUACUUGAUCCUUUUAUUGACAUUUCAGCUAAUGGUAUAUAUGCAUGUUCAUAUCAAUCUAUUAUUAUCUUAAUGUUAUCAUUUGUUAAGCUAUUGAUGCUCCCUUGCUGCUUCUGCUACAAAAUGUAAAUGUGUACCUGCUAAUAAAGAUUUAUGUGUAAGAGUGCUUCUUCAGUUAUUGGUAUGAUUAUUAUUUGAUUUAUUUGUUUAUUAAUUACUUUUAUUUAUUUUUAUAAAGGCGUUACUGGCACUAGGGCUACAAGAGGUAACAGUGAAUCUAUAUCUGAGGAUUUAAGUGUAAAGACUGCUUAUCAGAGCUAAAUAUAACGUUCCGACAAGGGACAAUUUCUGUGCAAAUGCUGCUUAUGGCCACACAACUGGUGGUUUAUCCAGUCAACAUGUCCAGGCAUCAUGGGCAGAUCUGGGGUUAACAUGAUGGUAGGGCAUUAAUCAAAUUCAUGAGUAGGUGUGGUUUAUUAAUAGUCAUUACAGUUAUUAAUCUUGGCUUAAGCUCUUCCCAAUGCUUGUGGUUAGUUGUCACAGCUGGGUAAAUAUGGGCAUGGAUUGAGAUUUCACUGAAUGUAUAGGACAAUGAGGCAGUAGUUUACAUCAAGAGUAUAUAUUAGGGAGGAGAGUAUCCAACAGACCGUCUGCAAUAGGCAUGGUAACUAGGGGUUCGGCUUCAGUCAGCCAUCUUGGAGUACAAUAAUAAAAAUGGCUCAUUCAUUGAUCCACAAAUUGUGCUGUAUUUUGAGCCAAAUUUCAAGAGAAAUUACUUGAUUUAAAACCUUUUUAAACUUGUUUACUACAAAGAUAAGGCAUAGUCCUGUCUUUUAAUAGUUCUUUUUUGAACUAUACUCAACAUGGAAGAGGGAAAACAGUGUGUGCAGGUGUGUAAUUUUGGUCACAUUUUUGCCAUUGUAGGAGCUCUUCAAUAAGUCUGUCCUGUAUUAUAAUGCAGUAUACGAACUUCCAGUAAGUUAUUUUUAUAAUUUUGAAGCUCAUUACUCUCAAUUUUUGUACAGGAGUCCUAAAAACAUGACAAAAAUGGCCCGAGUUCACUCAAGGAUUUAGCCACCUAAAAAAUUAAAAAAAGAAAUAUAAGUUCCAGAAUUUAUUCUUCAUAGCGUUAUCUUUUUAUUAAUUUGCUCUUAACUCCUAAAAUCCAAUUUUCUUUGAUUUUAUAAAGCAUGAAAAGGA